rnacentral:lncRNA from 1 species
AACAGAGACAGAGCAAGAUUUUUUUUCCUUCAGUCUCUUCAGUGAGGAGAUAGAAGGAACAGGCUGCCCAAGAAGGUGCAAGAGGCUGCUGGUAAGUACAUUCCUCUGUGGAGCGCCUCAAAAUCAUGUCUUACCCAGGCCAGAACUGUGACUGAGUCUAGCUAUAUCACUUUCUAAAUGAGAGUCCAAUUUCUUAAGCUGUGAUUUAUCAGGAGGCUCCCUCCAUCUCCUUCUGUCUGACCAUCAGGGUCAGCAGUUUCAGCUUAGACUUGAGAAACCUUUACCAACAAAAAUGUUAUGCACAAGAGCUUAUUCCUAAAAACCAAUCAAACUCGACCCAAACUAAAAAACCCCAAAAAUAUCAGUUCCAAAAUUAUCAACAUAUACAUCCUCACAAAAAAAAAAAAAAAAAAAAAAAAAAAAAAAAAAAAAAAAAUCAAAUCCCCAUUUCCCCACACUUAGGAGGACAAGAAAGACACAUUAUUCAUUCCCAUGGAAUUUUUCAAAUUUAAAGGUUCAAAAUCAGAUUGGCAUCCACCUAUCACUUUAAACAGGGACCGGAUAGUCCAGUUAUUUGGAACAUGAUAUCAAAACCUCAUUAUUUAUGUACUUUGCAUUCAGAGUUGACCUGGAAUCAUUAAAAGCUUGGAAAAUGCUGAAGAAUUUCAAGCAAAUUAGCAUUAUUGCUACUAAAAUCUUUAAUAAGUUAAAAAAACCAACUCAUUAACUUUGGACUUGAUCCCAUGCUUUUCAGCAGGUUGGCUUAGGCAAUAAACACCCAUUGGGUUCAGUUCACCUUCCAAAGAAAAUGCUGACUAUAGCUUUUCUGCAUCUCACAGAGUUUGCUUGGAGGCUGCAUGCAGAACCAGAACUGUCAGCGCUGGAAGAUGGAGGAGUUCCCUGCUCUGGGAAUAUCUACAGAAAGCCCAAAUCACAAUCACUGUCUGAAAGUAAGAACAGCAAUAAACAGAGGGCGAUGUCUUGGUCCUGUUCCCAAAAAGAGAGCCACUUAAUACACCCCUUAAGAACUGCAUAAAUCUGUAUAGACAAAGAUGAGUUUUUUAUCAUCCAAAUUAUUCCCAAUCAAACUCCCCACUGCUACUGAACGUUCAGAGAAUUUUUGUUUCUCCUGCACACUGUCCAGAGGAAAUUUUAGGGUUUCUAAAAGGUAUUAUAUAUAAAAGACAUAUAUAUUAUAUAAAAAGAUAUUAACCCACACUGAUUUGUUAUUGGCACUCCUGAGAAUUUUUCUUGUUUCUCCUUUGCACAGCCCAGAGUGUAUCAAAUGACCUUCCCCUAAAACCACUGAACGGGCAGGGGCAUUACAGAGGUGCCCCAACCCUCUGAUCAAUUUUGUGGCCUUCUUUUGUAGCUAAGAGGUCUAAUUUUGUUACCAAUUAUCAUUUUGUCUUUUCCUUUUUUUUUUUCAUUUUGAAUAUUAGCCACAUAGAUUAGAUUUGUUUUCUGUCUUCCUAUACCUUACAAUUUGUAUUUCAAUCCUGACCACUAAAAGCAUCCUAUCACAACAAGAGGCUACAACUGCUCUCACACACUUUUUGGGAACCUUUUAUCUUUUGUUUCUAAACUACAGUUUGGGACAUCAUAACUGAAGUUCAUACAUUGCAUAAUGUGCAGUAUUUACCAGACAUGAGAUGUCAUGAAAUCUUGCUCUAGUGCAGCACUUAUCAGUAUUUUCAAGCUGUAAGUCUCAUUUGAGAGGAAAAUACUAAGUUUUCAGAAAAGUAAGAGGAAAAAAGGAAGUAUUCGCACUGGCUCCCCUCUGGUGUCUAUCAUCUUCUGUUUCUCCUCAGUGUCCAUCCUGUUCCUGUAGAUAUCUUCCUGCUAAUGCUUUGGCAAAUUAUUGCUGUGUGUUGUUAUUUUUUUCAUAUUAGUAUUACAAUUUUGUUCUAAUAAAUUACUGCUAGUUCUGCGCA